GACGUAGGGCGCGAGCGUUGUCCGGAUUUAUUGGGCGUAAAGAGCUCGUAGGCGGCUUGUCGCGUCGACUGUGAAAACCCGCGGCUCAACCGUGUGGUCUGCAGUCGAUACGGGCAGGCUAGAGUUCGGUAGGGGAGACUGGAAUUCUGGUGUAGCGGUGAAAUGCGCAGAUAUCAGGAGGAACACCGUGGCGAAGGCGGGGUCUCUGGG
rnacentral:rRNA from 1 species